rnacentral:lncRNA from 1 species
GUUUCUGCAUAAAAAAUAAUGAAACCUUACAAAACAAAAUUACUUGGGUAUGGAGCAUGUCAUGUCAAAUCCACCGACUUGGAAUUCAAAUCCAUCAAUGAGUGUCCAACUUUGGAUGCAUCUCUCCAGUUUCAGUCUUCCGCCCAAUUCAUGGCCCACUUUCACAAUUAAGCGUGUCUGAUGGACCGAUUCAAAACACUUGUGGAAUCGAUUUCCUCUGUUUUCGCAUAAAUGAAGCCCGAUCUCGCCAGUUUGUACUGACUUUUUGUUUUUUUGUUUUUUUUGUCAGUUUUUGUGAUUUUUGUUUGGAUUUGUUGGUGUUGUUGUGUUCUGGAAGAUACGCGGCUUGUCAUUAGUGGGAUUGGAACCAGUGGAUCGUUGGUGCCGGGAUAUGGUUCCUUUAAACUGUUCCAUGACUAUUAAAGCAUGAAAAUAUUAUGGGCGGGUUUCUUCACUCCGAUAAAUGUUAGCGAAGGCUCUUUACAGUUUGUAACGAUAAUAAUAGUCAUCUUUGAUGGUGGCUCUUGGGUGUCAUGCUUUUGGAUCGUGCUGGUGUAGUCUUUGGCAGUGGUUGGUUUUUGUGCUUUGGAUUUUGCUUGUCUCAUUUAUUUUCUUUGUACGCAUAGGAUUGAUCGAUAUUCAUGAUUAUUAUCGGUAUUUUUGGAUUCUUAAAAUUUUACUGUUGUUUUCUUUUCUAUGCAAUAUAGAUGAUAGAGGCGGUGGUAGAUUAUGUUUCGGAUAAUUGGAUUGCAUUGAAAAUUAG